UUCUAGCUCAAGUUUUAAAUAUGUAUGAAUAAUUUAACCACGGACUAAAACAAUAGGAACAAAUGUAACUGAAAUGGCUUUGAUGACAGCAAAGGUUUAUCUAGCAAAGGGGAGUCACUCUCCUGCGAGCGUCUCACCAGUGCAGUUGCAUGUUGUAUGUGUGUUGAGUCUGGUCUGCCAGAUAUCUAUUUACAUUUCUUUUUGCUAGUAAAUCAUGUCUGGAGCUCACCUAGAGCUGAAGGACAAGUUCGGCAAUGUCAUGAGGUUUGGAAUUGGAGGAGAUAACUGGUAUCCUCCUUUCCCCUUAAUCCAAGAUCAUCGUCAACACAUCACAGAGGUUCGUCACUUGGAGCUCCGUCCAGAUGAUGUUCUCAUGGAGGGGUUUCCUAAGACAGGAUCUCACUGGCACCACGAGAUUUUGCACAUGCUUUUGGCCGGAUCGGCGGAGUACAUUUUGAAACUCGAGUACAAAGAAUUUCUAGACUUCUUUCCUGAGAAGGAGUUACUGCCCUCUGAUCGACCACGUGUGCUAUUUACUCACUUCCGCUAUAAUCAUCUUCCUCUGCAAGUGUGGGAGAAAAAGGUCAAGGUUGUAUACUUGACCCGAAGCCCCAAGGACACGUGGGUCUCAUUUUACAACCAUUUCCAUGGUAGCGCGGGGUUCUCCAACUACGAUGGCACAUGGAACCACUUUUUGGAAGUCAUGAUGGACACGGGAUUCUACUACGGGGACUGGUUUGACUACGUGCUGGACUGGGAGGCUAGGCUGGCAGCUGACAAAGAACUCAACUACAUCAUCUCAUCAUUUGAGGAUCUCAAGCUGGACCCCGUGGGACAGAUACAGAACCUGGACAAGUUCCUGGGUCUCAACAGGGGCAGAGAACUGUGUGAGCGCAUCGCGGAGGCUUGCAAGUUCUCUAACAUGAAGGCGGUCAAAGAUGCGCAAACGCCGAGUGAGAUGGAAAGAAAAAUAUGGAAGCAAAACGCACCAGGCUUCUACAGGAAAGGCGAGGUCGGGGACUGGAAGAACUGGUUCACUGUGGCCCAGAACGAGGCUUUCGACGAGAUGUACGAGAAACGUAUUGCCGGCAGUCAGCUGACCUACAGAUACCAGUGACGAGUGUCUGAUAUUGUCACUUAUGUGCCAAGCCUGUUUCCAGUGACAUCAGAUGUUGUCAUGGACACCAUCUGAGUACACGUUUUGUUCUGGAACAUUUUUCUGUAUGUGUUACUUAUUGUGUGUCACCCCGGACCUCAAAAUAUCUCUGUGACAAUAUUGACGCAGUGCCACAGGGUAUAUACCGUGUAAGAGAAGAAAGGGACAAAACCACAGCUGUCUGCAGUUCUCUAUGUUUACCUCCCCUCCACCAUCAAUCGGAGUCGCCCUCUUCUUCCUUUCCCUUUCAUCUGACCUGGUCUGCAGCGAACAAAUGUGAUCCCAGAUCGCCGGGAUAAAACAUUUUGUAGUCUAAAGGAAUUAAAAUUGUCUGGGUUCAUAGCCGAAAUGGUUCUGACAGAUGGAAUGGCGAAAAUAAUGACCGUGAAUAGAUGUAAAAUGUAAAUAAUCCUUUUAUCAGUCAGUAGCCUUGUAACCUGAAGGUGUGUGCUCUGAAAAGGCUCAACAUGUGUAGGGUUGGGUGAUGACAGGGAGUUUUCCAGUCAGUGACUGAGCGAAGCUGAAUCCAGAGGAUGUAGGAAGUAAGCUACAAGACACUCUUACGGAUAUCGCAGGGAGAAGGGAGAAAACUUUGUGAAAAUUUCCAGCAACAGGUCUGAGAAGACCUUCCGCCCAUCGCACUAACCUCCAGGGGCAGCACAAUAUGUAAUUUACAUUGUAUAUCUGGCCUCUGAUGUUUUAGUAAAAAUCAGUGUAAGAUACCAUUUUCAAAAAUCUGUGUGAAUAACCGUCUCUCGUUAUUGAAAUACAAACACCAUCAGCCACAGUCAGUAUCGUGACCUCACCUUUGAAAGACUGCACUUGUUUACACUAAACACUUACUUGUUUAUACUAAACAUCCACUUGUUUACACUAAACAGCAAAUUGUUUACACUAAACAUCGCAAGACACGCUCACAGCAUGAGAGAGUGUGGAUGCUGUAACAUCUACCACAGUAUUACUACAGGCUUCCUCAUAAACACAACAAACAUUGAGCUUAAAAUUCAAGGGAAGAAACUGCGAAGAAGACGACAACUGCACCACAGGGCGAGUGCGAUGUGCCGGGGUGAAGUGGGGUGGAGUAAUGUGGGGGAAUAGUCAGCGGAUGUAGAAAUAUUUUAACCUCUGAAAGCCGUGAGUGGAAUGUAGUGCAGCUGACCUAGAGAUAGAUGUUUGCACAGGCCUGAAACAUCUGUCACCUUGUCGUGGGUACAGCUAAGUGCAGACAGAAGGUUUGGCUGUCAACCAGAUUGGACUUCGCAGUAAAUGGACUGACUGACCGACCGACGAAUGACAGACAGACAGGCUGACUGACAGACUGACACCAAUCAUUCAUGGCUAAUGAGAAAGCGUGAUUUCUUAAAAAGUAGAAUUUUCAGUCGUUUCCAGUAUUUGUGUGUGAGAAAUGUGUGAUUGCUUAUUGCUUGAUUGAAUGUCAGUCAGUAAAUACUGUGUCACCACAGCAGGCGUUAUUAAGGCAACAAAGGGUUAAAGUAGUAAGAGCUUUGAAAGGUUGUAACUGGAUAAAAAAAAGAAUUCAAUAAGUUUGAGUUAUGUAGAAAAGAUAUAAAAAACAUAUAUUUUCUUGAAAUAUACUUAAAAUAUAAGGCUCAACAGCUUCUCUUCCUUCUCCGUAAGCUGAAGUCUUCUCUGUCUCCCACCAAUUUCUUCAGCUUUUCUACAGAUCGCACAUAGCAUACUGUCCUCGUUUAUUUGUUUCUACAACAGUUUGUCGGUGAAGGACAAGAGCAGCCUACAUCGUGUGGUGUCCACCUGCUCCAAAGUCAUCUGAUCAACUCAGAGUUAUCUUCAGACUCUGUACAAUAGACGGACUCUUCUGAAGGUGUCUGCCAUUCUUGGUGAUGACAGGCAUGCUCUGUCGACAGAACUUGUCAGACUCCCGUCCGGCCGCCGAUGUUGUGUGUCUGCAUGCAGGACAAACAGACUGCGGCUGUCUUUUGUUGUUUCAGCCGUGCGACAUUUGAUUGUUGUGAAUGAGACAU
rnacentral:misc_RNA from 1 species